rnacentral:lncRNA from 1 species
AUGGAAUUGGCUGUGCCUGGCAUGGGGCAACCCUGGCCUCUCCUCAUGGAGGCCCCUGCAAUCCCACCACCAACAGUUUCACACCUGCACCUGAUAUAAAGAUACACAACCCAAUGUAAACAUCUGAAGGAAUAUUUUUCUUCCCAACCCCAGGACAACUGAGACUCACAGGCAUUACAAAUGGGAAUAUUUAGACUUGGAAGCUGAGUAUUUGGAAGGUGCUGACUAGGCUUCCCUGAAGAAGUUCCUUGUUGUGAAGAAAGCUUAACAAUAUGAAUUAUUAUUUAUUGAGUCUCUGGACAGUUUCUGAGCAAAACAUACACUUGAGUGAUCUGCCUUCUUCCACUAAGCCUACCAAGAGUGACAGAGAAAGGAAAACAGAGUGUAUUGCUCAUUUUGUUGAUCGAACUAUUCAAUGAAGUGAAGGGUUCUGCUUUGGUCAGCCCUACAGUGUAAAAAUAAAAUGAAAAACAAG